rnacentral:rRNA from 1 species
UACGUAGGUGGCAAGCGUUGUCCGGAUUUACUGGGCGUAAAGAGCGCGCAGGCGGUCGUUCAAGUCGCGUGUGAAAGCCCCCGGCUCAACUGGGGAGGGUCACGCGAUACUGAUCGACUCGAAGGCAGGAGAGGGUAGUGGAAUUCCCGGUGUAGUGGUGAAAUGCGUAGAUAUCGGGAGGAACACCAACGGCGAAGGCAGCUCGCUGGGACGGUACUGACACUAAGGCGCGAAAAGCGUGGGGAGCGAACAGG